GUCGCGGGCGUAGGAAAUUUGAGAGGAUCUGCCCUUAGUACGAGAGGACCGGGGUGGACUUACCGCUGGUGUACCAGUUGUCUUGCCAAAGGCAUCGCUGGGUAGCUAUGUAGGGAACGGAUAAACGCUGAAAGCAUCUAAGUGUGAAACCAACCUCAAGAUGAGAUUUCCCAUUCUUUAUGAAUUAAGAGCCCUGAGAGAUGAUCAGGUAGAUAGGCUAGAAGUGGAAGGGUAGUGAUACUUGGAGCGGACUAGUACUAAUAGCUCGAGGACUUUACCUA
rnacentral:ncRNA from 1 species